rnacentral:rRNA from 1 species
GACGAACGCUGGCGGCGUGCUUAACACAUGCAAGUCGAACGGAAAGGCCCUGCUUUUGUGGGGUGCUCGAGUGGCGAACGGGUGAGUAACACGUGAGUAACCUGCCCUUGACUUUGGGAUAACUUCAGGAAACUGGGGCUAAUACCGGAUAGGAGCUCCUGCUGCAUGGUGGGGGUUGGAAAGUUUCGGCGGUUGGGGAUGGACUCGCGGCUUAUCAGCUUGUUGGUGGGGUAGUGGCUUACCAAGGCCUUGACGGGUAGCCGGCCUGAUAGGGUGACCGGCCAAAUUGGGACUGAGAUACGGCACAGACUACUACGGGAGGCAGCAGUGGGGAAUAGUGCACAAUGGGCGGAAGCCUGAUGCAGCAAAGCAGCGUGGGGGAUGACGGCCUUCGGGUUGUAAAGCGCUUUCGCCUGUGACGAAGCGUGAGUGACGGUAAUGGGUAAAGAAGCACCGGCUAACUACGUG